GCCUGGCCCAUCUGCAGCUAGCCCAACACGUGCUUUGCAUGUGCUAGAUUGUAGCAAACUCUCGAUGAGAGUUUGCUUUCCCUUCUGAGCAUUGGUGACUUCGAGCUCAAAUCAGAAACCUAAGGCAUUGGAACCCUUGGUGUCCUCUAUAAAUAGGGCCUCCUCCCCUCAAUCACCCUCCAUCGAUGAUCAUUAUGCCUCUUUCUCUCUCUUUUCUCCCUUUGGAUUUGUGCUAUCCCAUCAUUGUAUCUAUCAAAAAUCGGAGCCGAACACACCGUCAGAGCUAAGGUAAAGCCCCAAUCUUUCUCUCCUUUAGAGCUAUCAAAAUAGGCCGGUCCAGCCCAGUCCGGUCUAACCCACGUGGGUUGUGAUUAUGGGGGCUAGGUUGGCCUUAGUCCACUUGUUAAAAGGGGCCAUAAAAAUCCAACCCGACUCUAGCCCACGUGGGCU
rnacentral:lncRNA from 1 species